rnacentral:rRNA from 5 species
UAACGACUCUCGGCAACGGAUAUCUCGGCUCUCGCAUCGAUGAAGAACGUAGCGAAAUGCGAUACUUGGUGUGAAUUGCAGAAUCCCGUGAACCAUCGAGUCUUUGAACGCAAGUUGCGCCCGACGCCUUCUGGCCGAGGGCACGUCUGCCUGGGUGUCACGC